rnacentral:tRNA from 1 species
GAGGGUGUAACUCAGUGGUAGAGCACAUGCUGAGGAUAUAUGCAAGGUCCUGGGUUCAAUCCCCAGCACCAAAA